GACGAACGCUGGCGGCGUGCCUAAUACAUGCAAGUUGAGCGAUGAAGCUUGGUGCUUGCACCAAUUUGAAGAGCAGCGAACGGGUGAGUAACGCGUGGGGAAUCUGCCUUUGAGCGGGGGACAACAUUUGGAAACGAAUGCUAAUACCGCAUAACAACUUUAAACAUAAGUUUUAAGUUUGAAAGAUGCAAUUGCAUCACUCAAAGAUGAUCCCGCGUUGUAUUAGCUAGUUGGUGAGGUAAAGGCUCACCAAGGCGAUGAUACAUAGCCGACCUGAGAGGGUGAUAGGCCACAUUGGGACUGAGACACGGCCCAAACUCCUACGGGAGGCAGCAGUAGGGAAUCUUCGGCAAUGGACGAAAGUCUGACCGAGCAACGCCGCGUGAGUGAAGAAGGUUUUCGGAUCGUAAAACUCUGUUGGUAGAGAAGAACGUUGGUGAGAGUGGAAAGCUCAUCAAGUGACGGUAACUACCCAGAAAGGGACGGCUAACUACGUG
rnacentral:rRNA from 1 species